rnacentral:rRNA from 1 species
ACAGUGGACGCGAGCAUCUGUGGCCAAGUUUAUAAGGGCGCACGGUGGAUGCCUUGGCACCAGGAACCGAUGAAGGACGUGGGAGGCCGCGAUAGGCCCCGGGGAGCUGUCAACCGAGCUUUGAUCCGGGGGUGUCCGAAUGGGGAAACCCGGCAGUCGUCAUGGGCUGUCACCCACUGCUGAACACAUAGGCAGUGUGGAGGGAACGAGGGGAAGUGAAACAUCUCAGUACCCUCAGGAAGAGAAAACAACCGUGAUUCCGGGAGUAGUGGCGAGCGAAACCGGAUGAGGCCAAACCGUAUGCGUGUGAUACCCGGCAGGGGUUGCGCAUGCGGGGUUGUGGGAUCUCUCUUUCACGGUCUGCCGGCCGUGAGACGAGUCAGAAACCGUUGAUGUAGGCGAAGGACAUGCGAAAGGUCCGGCGUAGAGGGUAAGACCCCCGUAGCUGAAACAUUGACGGCUCGUUUGAGAGACACCCAAGUAGCACGGGGCCCGAGAAAUCCCGUGUGAAUCUGGCGGGACCACCCGCUAAGCCUAAAUAUUCCCUGGUGACCGAUAGCGGAUAGUACCGUGAGGGAAUGGUGAAAAGUACCGCGGGAGCGGAGUGAAAUAGUACCUGAAACCGUGUGCCUACAAGCCGUGGGAGCGUCGGACAUGCUUUGCAUGUCUCGUGACUGCGUGCCUUUUGAAGAAUGAGCCUGCGAGUUUGCGGUGCGUUGCGAGGUUAACCCGUGUGGGGAAGCCGUAGCGAAAGCGAGUCCGAAUAGGGCGAUCGAGUAGCGCGCUCAAGACCCGAAGCGGAGUGAUCUAGCCAUGGGCAGGUUGAAGCGGAGGUAAGACUUCGUGGAGGACCGAACCCACCAGGGUUGAAAACCUGGGGGAUGACCUGUGGUUAGGGGUGAAAGGCCAAUCAAACUCCGUGAUAGCUGGUUCUCCCCGAAAUGCAUUUAGGUGCAGCGUCGUGUGUUUCUUGCCGGAGGUAGAGCACUGGAUAGGCGAUGGGCCCUACCGGGUUACUGACCUUAGCCAAACUCCGAAUGCCGGUAAGUGAGAGCGCGGCAGUGAGACUGUGGGGGAUAAGCUCCAUGGUCGAGAGGGAAACAGCCCAGAGCAUCGACUAAGGCCCCUAAGCGUACGCUAAGUGGGAAAGGAUGUGGAGUCGCAGAGACAACCAGGAGGUUGGCUUAGAAGCAGCCACCCUUGAAAGAGUGCGUAAUAGCUCACUGGUCAAGUGAUUCCGCGCCGACAAUGUAGCGGGGCUCAAGCGUACCGCCGAAGUCGUGUCAUUGCAGCAUAAGCCCCAACGGGUGCUGUGAUGGGUAGGGGAGCGUCGUGUGCCGGGUGAAGCAGCCGCGGAAGCGAGUUGUGGACGGUUCACGAGUGAGAAUGCAGGCAUGAGUAGCGAUACACACGUGAGAAACGUGUGCGCCGAUUGACUAAGGGUUCCUGGGUCAAGCUGAUCUGCCCAGGGUAAGUCGGGACCUAAGGCGAGGCCGACAGGCGUAGUCGAUGGACAACCGGUUGAUAUUCCGGUACCCGCUUUGAAGCGCCAGCGCUGAACCCAGCGAUGCUAAGCCCGUGAAACCGCCGUGUGCGUCUUCGGACAAGCACGGAGUGGUGGAGCCGGUGGCCCAGACUGGUAGUAGGUGAGCGAUGGGGUGACGCAGGAAGGUAGUCCAGCCCGGGCGGUGGUUGUCCCGGGGUAAGGGUG